rnacentral:rRNA from 1 species
AUACGUAGGGGGCGAGCGUUAUCCGGAUUUACUGGGUGUAAAGGGAGCGUAGGUGGCGAAGCAAGUCAGAUGUGAAAGCCCGGGGCUUAACUCCGGGACUGCAUUUGAAACUGUUUUGCUAGAGUGCAGGAGAGGUAAGUGGAAUUCCUAGUGUAGCGGUGAAAUGCGUAGAUAUUAGGAGGAACACCAGUGGCGAAGGCGGCUUACUGGACUGUAACUGACACUGAGGCUCGAAAGCGUGGGGAGCAAACAGGAUUAGAUACCCUGGUAGUCCACGCUGUAAACGAUGAAUACUAGGUGUUGGGUAGCGAAAGCUCUUCGGUGCCGUCGCAAACGCAUUAAGUAUUCCACCUGGGGAGUACGUUCGCGAGAAUGAA